rnacentral:rRNA from 1 species
AACUUGCCUUACAGACUGGGACAACAUUUGGAAACGAAUGCUAAUACCCGGAUAUUAUGACUGAGUCGCAUGAUUUGGUUAUGAAAGCUAUAUGCGCUGUGAGAGAGCUUUGCGUCCCAUUAGUUAGUUGGUGAGGUAACGGCUCACCAAGACGAUGAUGGGUAGCCGGCCUGAGAGGGUGAACGGCCACAAGGGGACUGAGACACGGCCCUUACUCCUACGGGAGGCACAUGGGGAAUAUUGGACAAUGGACCAAAAGUCUGAUCCAGCAAUUCUGUGUGCACGAUGAAGUUUUUCGGAAUGUAAAGUGCUUUCAGUUGGGAAGAAGUCAGUGACGGUACCAACAGAAGAAGCGACGGCUAAAUACGUGCCAGCAGCCGCGGUAAUACGUAUGUCGCAAGCGUUAUCCGGAUUUAUUGGGCGUAAAGCGCGUCUAGGCGGUUUAGUAAGUCUGAUGUGAAAAUGCGGGGCUCAACCCCGUAUUGCGUUGGAAACUGCUAAACUAGAGUACUGGAGAGGUAGGCGGAACUACAAGUGUAGAGGUGAAAUUCGUAGAUAUUUGUAGGAAUGCCGAUGGGGAAGCCAGCCUACUGGACAGAUACUGACGCUAAAGCGCGAAAGCGUGGGUAGCAAACAGGAUUAGAUACCCUGGUAGUCCACGCCGUAAACGAUGAUUACUAGGUGUUGGGGGUCGAACCUCAGCGCCCAAGCUAACGCGAUAAGUAAUCCGCCUGGGGAGUACGUACGCAAGUAUG